UCCGGUGGUGAUAGCGGAAGGGUCCCACCCGUUCCCAUCCCGAACACGGAAGUUAAGCCUUCCCACGCCGAUGGUACUGAGGGGGCAACCCCUAUGGGAGAGUAGGUAACUGCCGGAC
rnacentral:rRNA from 1 species